UAUGAAAUCAAUGUACCUUAAAGAGCAUCUCAAGCAGGUUGGACUUUAUAUUCCUAAUGAAAGGUCUUAACAAUGUUGCUUCAGACUCAGCUGCAGUUCAGCCUCUCACUUUUCUGCUCCUAAAUACAAUUUUAUUUGGUAUCUUAAAAUCAAGUUCCAGCAAAUUCCAUAUGGUCUUGUUGUGAAUCACGAGCCUACUGUGUGUCUUCUCUGAAUACUGGCUUGGCUUUGCACAGAUUUACAUAGAAAAGGCUCAGAAUAAAAACUUGCAUUGCCUCCACUGGAAGAAGCUGAGAUGUGUUUUUAGUUCGUUGUUGGUAUGAAAAGUCAAACAAAAAUAUACUGUAAAAAUAAAAAAAGAUGUUUGGCACAUGGUCGUGGGUUGAUGUGAUAAUUAUAAACACAGGGGUUUUUUUUCAACAGAAUUGAAUUUUUGAUUCCAACAUCCCUCUUUUAAAUAGAUUAUUUUAUUUUUAAAAGGAAAUUUCAGAACAUUGUCAACGAGAGGCAGCUUUAACCUGGGUAAUGGAGGUGUUCUUUUUCCAACUCAGAUCCCACCAUCCCAUUGCAAUCAACUGUUGAGGAAUAACAAAACUCAUGACAAUGUUUGGUGCAGCUCUAACACAGAGUGAAGUGAGAACUGCACACUCUCCAUCUGCCCCAUUGCCUGUGGAGCCACUGCUCCUCAGAGACAUCUCCACCCGCUGCUGCUCCCUCCUUGCUGCUGGAGGAACUCUGGGAGAAGGGGACCUUGAGCCAGGAUCCAUCCCACUGAGCUCUCCUCCUCCUCACUCCUGCUCUGGAGGAAGGGAGAUCCACAGACCUGCAGUGACCUCACCCUUGCAGACCUGCAUCCAAACCACCUUUUACUUCCGGGGCAGAAUAAGUGGGGUUUUCUCCUUUUCUGUUAAAUGUGAUGAUAAUUCAGAGAUACUGUACCUCUUUUUUUUUGGUAGCAAAUGACUUUUUAAAAGUUAUAUGACACCCAUGUAAGGAAAUCUUUGAGUGAAAUUAAUCCAAAGCUGCUGGGCCCACGUCAAGUUGUCAGGAGCUUUUCAAUCCCAC
rnacentral:lncRNA from 1 species